rnacentral:rRNA from 1 species
AUGGAACAAUGUAGGCAAGGGAAGUCGGCAAAACGGAUCCGUAACUUCGGGAAAAGGAUUGGCUCUGAGGACUGGGCUCGGGGGUCCCGGCCCCGAACCCGACGGCUGUCGGCGGAUUGCUCGAGCUGCUCACGCGGCGAGAGCGGGUCGCCGCGUGCCGGCCGGGGGACGGACCGGGAAUCGCCCCUUCGGGGGCUUUCCCCGAGCAUGAAACAGUCGACUCAGAACUGGUACGGACAAGGGGAAUCCGACUGUUUAAUUAAAAAAAAGCAUUGCGAUGGUCCUCGCGGAUGCUGA